GGUGUAUCAGCAGAGACCUCUGGACCAAGCAAAUGUCUUUUACUUGUAGGGCAGCUCUUAUGGGUUCCUCAUGCCCCAGUUCCCCAUGGGGUGACAAGGUGAGAGCGUCCAUCGCACCUGUCCGUGGAGCAUUGGAGAUGAUGAAGUUUGGAGAGUGUAGAAGCUGGAGACUCCAAAGGCUUCUCCAGUGAAAUCCUAUCACAUCAGUGGAGACCCUCCAAGACCUGUCUCUGUCCUGCAUCUGCAUGGUCCCUCGUUUUCCUCAUCCUGCAUCCCAUGCUCUGGGCCCACCCAAUGGCUGAGUUCCAGAGGGACCACCUCUCCUGUAAGUCCUGCCCAAGAGCAGUCACUUGGCAACACCCAUAGCCACACCAAAUUGCAAGAGGCUGGGACAUGGCAACCAUUUAAAUGAGGUUCUUGUUGCCCUGAAUGGAACAGUGAUUCUGUGACCAAAGAAGGUAGGUAAACAUGACGAUUAUGGUAAAUAUAUCUUGUAAAUUCUCAAAAAUCACAGAGCAAAUUCUAAACCUUAUUGCAAAAACUAAGUACACAAGGUAAUACAUAUGUUAAUAUGGCAAUUUUACCAUUACCCACAUGCACAUACACCAG
rnacentral:lncRNA from 1 species